UGGCCGCUCUUCCGUGACUCUAUCUACUACAUCCUCUCAGUGCUGGCCUUGAUUCUGAUCAUAUAUGACGAAAAAGUAAUUUGGUGGGAGACUAUAAUCCUCAUAACAAUGUAUGGGGUUUACAUCCUUAUCAUGAGGUUUAACAGUCAGAUUUGGGGCUGGGUGGAGCAGAGGUUUGGUAUCCCAGGUCAGCCAUGUUUGGUGAGCAGUCUGUGCAGAAAUGUGUCGGUAGGAGAGGCAAGCCCACACUGUGACACCUCCAUGAUCCUCUUGAAG